GAUAUCAGAAGUGGGAAAGUGGGUGAUAUCUUCUCGGUUUUGACUGAGUUCGAGAGUUGUUGUGUGCUGUCCUUCGAUGAGGGUUUCGGGGGGAUGGAGAUUGUGACAGAGAGCGGAGAAAUUAAGCUCUCACAGAGAGCGGAAGAAACGGAGAGACAGAGAGACAGACAGAGAGAGAAAGAGAGAGAGAGAGACAGAGAGAGAGAUGCCGAGGGGAAGACAGCAGGGAGAGGUAUGGCUGUUGUCUGCAAUUUCAUUUGCUGUCCUUCAAGGAGGGUUUCGGGGGAUGGACUGUGACAGAGAGCGGAAGAGAGAGAGAGAGAGAGAGAGAGAGAGAUGACGAUGAAAAGAAAACGAAGAGGAAAGGGGAAGCUACAUGCCUGAAUUUCGAAAGCCAAGUGCUUUUAAAAAUUUUUUUUUUUUCCUAUCAGCUUAGAUCUGGUUUUUUGUUGUGGAUUAUUUUCGAAUUUUUUAGUGUGUUAGGUCAGAUUUUAGUGGAAUAAUCAGAGAUAUUUAUUUCUUGCAUAUAUAUCUGCUUGCAGGUUCGGUUUGUCAUUUUGAUUUCGUACUCAAAUAUUUAUAUUUUAUUAUUACUUGCAUUUAUAUCUGCUUGCAUGUUGUGAUUGAGAGGCCAGAAUUACUUUACAAAUCUUUCUGCACUGUUUGGUUGGUUAGGUAGCAUGCUUUUGUCUUUUUUUUAAUCGAUUUGGGGAUUUUCUGCCCCUCUAUUUAUUCAUUUGCUCUCAGUUUUGUUUCUCAGGUUCCUGUGUUUUUCUGUUAACUGUUCAAAGGUCCAUUUUUUUCCGUUUUGUAGUUUAAAUUUUGUCUAUUAUUCUGUCUGGCCUACCAUUUCAAUUCCAAUGCUCUUAAAUUGUAUGCAUCUGUGUCUCUGUGUGUGCAUAUGAGGUUGUGCAUCGACUUCUCUGCUGCCUAAUUUUAAUGCAAUUUUUUUUAUUUCAAUUGUUUCAAGACGAGAAAACUCAUUAUUCUCUUAUUUUUAUGGAUUGCAGGAAACGUCCUGCUGACUUGGGAUUUCAGGGUUUUAUUGAAAACAAACUUAUACAUCCCAAUGCAAAAGGAGAGAGGAGGCAAUGGCUGGCAUUGUUGAUAACGCACUUCUCUUUGGAAAGAAACAUGUUUGGUCUUCAAAACACCAUUUAAAUGUGAAAGAAGAAGUUCCCCUCACAUGGUUAGAGCCGUAGAGGGGGAGUUCAAAGUCAAGAGGAGGGGCGUAAGCACAUAUUAAUUUUUUGUAUCUCAAUCUGAUUGUUUGAUUUUGGGUGAAUAGAUCAUGGGUUGAGUGAUGCAGGUGAAGCUUUGUUUUAGGACCAUCUUGGAGAAGUAUUGUUUGUUGAGCUGCCAGAAAAUGGUCACUCAGUCUCUCAAGGGGGCAGCAGCUUUGGAUUGCCUUUCCAGAAUGUUGAGGUCAUUGAAAUUAAACUAAUUGAACAUUAUUUGAUAAUUUUGGCAUAUGAAUUUGAAUUGGUAUUGAUUUAUUUUCACAACUUUUGGAAUUACGAGAUGGGACUACCAAGUCCAGAGGUCAGAUGGUCAUCUAAGCUGCUGUUAGUUUUGCUCUCCAAAUGACUCUCAUGAAUGCGAACCUUGAUCAAACGUACAUAAUAUUUGAGCAGAUAGUUUAUCCAGUAAAGGUAUUUUUGGAAAAAAAGUGUGAUAUGUCAGCAUAGUCAUGGUAUAUGACAAUGAUAAUUUGAAGAACCAUUUAAAGUAUUUUGGUAAUCAGCAUACUAAAAUUUGAAUGUGAUAUAUCCGUUUAGUUUUCUAUACACAAUGAUAAUACUCAAGUAUAAUUUACAUCAUAUAUCUUUUAAAGUACAUGAAACUAUGAAGAAAAAACCCUAAUUAAUCUGAUUAUGGGGGUUUUGUUUUAUAUCAAGAUAUUUCAGCAGAAGGCAGACUUUGAAGAGUUCACGCUGCAUAGAAAGAUGAUGAAAUGCCACCCAUUGAAUCCAUUGUUGCUCCACUGGAGGCGAAGCUUAAGCUUGCUGCAGGAGGUAUACUUUUGUUCUACAAUAUGACCUCUUUAAUUUGUUUGUAUAUGGGAGGUAUAGAGUGUUCCAUGUGUAUUUGGUUUCCAUAUUGUUUAUGGAUCUAUCAACUCAUUUAUUACAUGAAUCAAUAAUUAUAACGAGUUAAAUUUUUUUUA